rnacentral:rRNA from 1 species
UACGUAGGGGGCUAGCGUUGUCCGGAAUCAUUGGGCGUAAAGCGCGCGUAGGCGGUCUUUUAAGUCGGAUGUGAAAGCCCUCGGCUCAACCGAGGAAGUGCAUCCGAAACUGAAAGGCUUGAGUAUGGAAGAGGGUCGCGGAAUUCCCGGUGUAGAGGUGAAAUUCGUAGAUAUCGGGAGGAACACCGGUGGCGAAGGCGGCGACCUGGGCCAAUACUGACGCUGAGAUGCGAAAGCGUGGGGAGCAAACAGG